AUGACGGGACGCGCUGCAGCCAUCCUUGUCGUCGGCGGCGGCCCUCCUCGUCGUCGCCGCCGACGGCGGCGACGUGCGUACGUCGUUGGUUCAGGUCUUGCGACGAACGAGGGAGGCGAGGAGCAGACACCUCCUGACAAAGUAAUGGAAGCAGAGAAGCCGUGGGCGUGCUGCAGCAGCACCGUGUGCAAGGAGUCGCUCCCGCCGGUGUGCCGCUGCCUGGACAAGGUGAAGGAGUGCGCCGCCGCGUGCAAGCUGUGCGAGCCGUCCGGGGUCAGCCACGUCGUCUGCAACGACUGGUACCGUGGCGACCCAGGGCCCAUGUGCGCCUAG
rnacentral:rRNA from 1 species